GCCUCGCGCCUGAAAGGGCGACGGCAGUGCCGGAGCGAGAAGUCAGCAGAGGCCGUAGUAGUGCGAGUCGGGGGCCGAUGAGGCAGAACCAAAAGCACGAAGGGC
rfam:Rhizobacter sp. Root1221 contig_68, whole genome shotgun sequence.